rnacentral:rRNA from 1 species
GACGAACGCUGGCGGCGUGCUUAACACAUGCAAGCCGAACACUGAAGCCCUUCGGGGUGGAUGAGUGGCGAACGGGUGAGUAACACGUGGGUAAUCUGCCCUGCACUCUGGGAUAAGCCUUGGAAACGGGGUCUAAUACCGGAUAGGACACAUCGCCGCAUGGUGUGUGUGUGGAAAGUUCCGGCGGUGCAGGUUGAGCCCGCGGCCUAUCAGCUUGUUGGUGGGGUGAUGGCCUACCAAGGCGACGACGGGUAGCCGGCCUGAGAGGGUGACCGGCCACACUGGGACUGAGACACGGCCCAGACUCCUACGGGAGGCAGCAGUGGGGAAUCUUGCGCAAUGGGCGAAAGCCUGACGCAGCAACGCCGCGUGGGGGAUGACGGCCUUCGGGUUGUAAACCUCUUUCGGGAGGGACGAAGGUUCAGGCGCGAAUAGCGUCCUGGACUGACGGUACCUCCAGAAGAAGCCCCGGCUAACUAC